GGUUAAGCGACUAAGCGUACACGGUGGAUGCCCUGGCAGUCAGAGGCGAUGAAGGACGUGCUAAUCUGCGAUAAGCGCCGGUAAGGUGAUAUGAACCGUUAUAACCGGCGAUUUCCGAAUGGGGAAACCCAGUGUGAUUCGUCACACUAUCAUUAACUGAAUCCAUAGGUUAAUGAGGCGAACCGGGGGAACUGAAACAUCUAAGUACCCCGAGGAAAAGAAAUCAACCGAGAUUCCCCCAGUAGCGGCGAGCGAACGGGGAGGAGCCCAGAGCCUGAAUCAGCAUGUGUGUUAGUGGAAGCGUCUGGAAAGGCGCGCGAUACAGGGUGACAGCCCCGUACACAAAAGCGCAUGUGCUGUGAGCUCGAUGAGUAGGGCGGGACACGUGGUAUCCUGUCUGAAUAUGGGGGGACCAUCCUCCAAGGCUAAAUACUCCUGACUGACCGAUAGUGAACCAGUACCGUGAGGGAAAGGCGAAAAGAACCCCGGCGAGGGGAGUGAAAAAGAACCUGAAACCGUGUACGUACAAGCAGUGGGAGCACAGGUUUACCUGUGUGACUGCGUACCUUUUGUAUAAUGGGUCAGCGACUUAUAUUCUGUAGCAAGGUUAACCGUAUAGGGGAGCCGUAGGGAAACCGAGUCUUAACCGGGCGUNNNNNNNNNNNNNNNNNNNNNGAAACCCGGUGAUCUAGCCAUGGGCAGGUUGAAGGUUGGGUAACACUAACUGGAGGACCGAACCGACUAAUGUUGAAAAAUUAGCGGAUGACCUGUGGCUGGGGGUGAAAGGCCAAUCAAACCGGGAGAUAGCUGGUUCUCCCCGAAAGCUAUUUAGGUAGCGCCUCGUGAAUUCAUCUCCGGGGGUAGAGCACUGUUUCGGCUAGGGGGCCAUCCCGGCUUACCAACCCGAUGCAAACUGCGAAUACCGGAGAAUGUUAUCACGGGAGACACACGGCGGGUGCUAACGUCCGUCGUGAAGAGGGAAACAACCCAGACCGCCAGCUAAGGUCCCAAAGUCAUGGUUAAGUGGGAAACGAUGUGGGAAGGCCCAGACAGCCAGGAUGUUGGCUUAGAAGCAGCCAUCAUUUAAAGAAAGCGUAAUAGCUCACUGGUCGAGUCGGCCUGCGCGGAAGAUGUAACGGGGCUAAACCAUGCACCGAAGCUGCGGCAGCGAACGUAUCACCCAAGACAACUUUACGGAGUUGACGAUUGACGGAGCGAAGCGACGUCAAAGCGUUCAUUAAAGUCGAGUUGGCUUAGGGAUACGUUCGUUGGGUAGGGGAGCGUUCUGUAAGCCUGUGAAGGUGUGUCGUGAGGCAUGCUGGAGGUAUCAGAAGUGCGAAUGCUGACAUAAGUAACGAUAAAGCGGGUGAAAAGCCCGCUCGCCGGAAGACCAAGGGUUCCUGUCCAACGUUAAUCGGGGCAGGGUGAGUCGACCCCUAAGGCGAGGCCGAAAGGCGUAGUCGAUGGGAAACGGGUUAAUAUUCCCGUACUUGGUGUUACUGCGAAGGGGGGACGGAGAAGGCUAUGUUGGCCGGGCGACGGUUGUCCCGGUUUAAGCGUGUAGGUGUGUGUUCCAGGUAAAUCCGGUUCACUUUAACACUGAGGCGUGACGACGAGGCACUACGGUGCUGAAGCAACAAAUGCCCUGCUUCCAGGAAAAGCCUCUAAGCAUCAGGUAACACGAAAUCGUACCCCAAACCGACACAGGUGGUCAGGUAGAGAAUACCAAGGCGCUUGAGAGAACUCGGGUGAAGGAACUAGGCAAAAUGGUGCCGUAACUUCGGGAGAAGGCACGCUGACACGUAGGUGAAGUGAUUUACUCAUGGAGCUGAAGUCAGUCGAAGAUACCAGCUGGCUGCAACUGUUUAUUAAAAACACAGCACUGUGCAAACACGAAAGUGGACGUAUACGGUGUGACGCCUGCCCGGUGCCGGAAGGUUAAUUGAUGGGGUCAGCGCAAGCGAAGCUCCUGAUCGAAGCCCCGGUAAACGGCGGCCGUAACUAUAACGGUCCUAAGGUAGCGAAAUUCCUUGUCGGGUAAGUUCCGACCUGCACGAAUGGCGUAAUGAUGGCCAGGCUGUCUCCACCCGAGACUCAGUGAAAUUGAACUCGCUGUGAAGAUGCAGUGUACCCGCGGCAAGACGGAAAGACCCCGUGAACCUUUACUAUAGCUUGACACUGAACAUUGAGCCUUGAUGUGUAGGAUAGGUGGGAGGCUUUGAAGUGUGGACGCCAGUCUGCAUGGAGCCGACCUUGAAAUACCACCCUUUAAUGUUUGAUGUUCUAACGUGGACCCGUAAUCCGGGUUGCGGACAGUGUCUGGUGGGUAGUUUGACUGGGGCGGUCUCCUCCUAAAGAGUAACGGAGGAGCACGAAGGUUGGCUAAUCCUGGUCGGACAUCAGGAGGUUAGUGCAAUGGCAUAAGCCAGCUUGACUGCGAGCGUGACGGCGCGAGCAGGUGCGAAAGCAGGUCAUAGUGAUCCGGUGGUUCUGAAUGGAAGGGCCAUCGCUCAACGGAUAAAAGGUACUCCGGGGAUAACAGGCUGAUACCGCCCAAGAGUUCAUAUCGACGGCGGUGUUUGGCACCUCGAUGUCGGCUCAUCACAUCCUGGGGCUGAAGUAGGUCCCAAGGGUAUGGCUGUUCGCCAUUUAAAGUGGUACGCGAGCUGGGUUUAGAACGUCGUGAGACAGUUCGGUCCCUAUCUGCCGUGGGCGCUGGAGAACUGAGGGGGGCUGCUCCUAGUACGAGAGGACCGGAGUGGACGCAUCACUGGUGUUCGGGUUGUCAUGCCAAUGGCACUGCCCGGUAGCUAAAUGCGGAAGAGAUAAGUGCUGAAAGCAUCUAAGCACGAAACUUGCCCCGAGAUGAGUUCUCCCUGAGACUUAGAGUCUCCUGAAGGAACGUUGAAGACGACGACGUUGAUAGGCCGGGUGUGUAAGCGCAGCGAUGCGUUGAGCUAACCGGUACUAAUGAACCGUGAGGCUUAACCUU
rnacentral:rRNA from 1 species